rnacentral:rRNA from 1 species
UACGGGGGGGCAAGCGUUGUUCGGAAUUACUGGGCGUAAAGGGCUCGUAGGCGGCCAACUAAGUCAGACGUGAAAUCCCCAGGCUCAACCUGGGAACUGCGUCUGAUACUGGAUGGCUUGAAUCCGGGAGAGGGAUGCAGAAUUCCAGGUGUAGCGGUGAAAUGCGUAGAUAUCUGGAGGAAUACCGGUGGCGAAGGCGGCAUCCUGGACCGGCAUUGACGCUGAGGUGCGAAAGCGUGGGGAGCAAACAGGG